UCCGGACAUUGGCACCUGGUAGAGUUAGUGAGAGAGGAGACAAAAUUCUAUCACUACUCCUCAAUCAACUCCCCCAUUUAUACCGCCGAUGCUGUGAAAUUUAUAAAUAAGUUUAUGAGUUUCAUUGAGAGUAAUUGGGGAUUGGGGAAAUUGGAGCAUCAUGGUCUUGUGUCAGUUGCCGUGCCACAACAAGGACCAACGUUAGAUUGCGGGAUCUUUAUGAUUGAAUUCAUUAACAGCAUUGUCGAAAAACGGUCGAUAACAAUUUCAAAAGGAGAUUGUGCAAAAUAUAGAGCAAGGUUUUGUGCUGCUCUUUUGUAUGCACGCGAUUCACCUUUUUUGUAAAUAUUAUUUUAAUUUUCUCCAAGGUUUUUGUUGUGUAUUCAAUGUUGUAAGUAUGUUCAUGUUGUUAAUA